UCUGCCUGCAGCUAGACCAGGAAGAAAGGAGACUGAGCAGAGGAAAUGAAAGAGUAAAGGAGAGGAGAGAGUGGGUAGGACACAAAGCUGAGGUGACUGAAGCAGCAGGAAGUAGGCAGGGCAUGAAGAAUUGGGAUUCAAAGCCCUUGAAUUUAGUUCCCAACUUCACUUAUGGGGCAAUGCUCCAAGUCACUCAGUCACCCUGAACUUCAGCUGGAGAAGGGGAACAGGAAUAAUGCCUAUCUUCCAGGAGUGUUCUGCACAAAACUGAAGGCACAGAUGAAAAAGCACUCUGCAAAUUAAAAGAGAAGGAUGGAUAGAGAAAAGCAUCAUUACAAAAGUGAAAUGUGUGAAUUUUAUUCUGGCUUUGAACAUUGAGUAGACGAAGAAGACAAUUCCAGACGGAGGAAACUCCACAAGAAAUAUCAUGGAAAUUUGAAAGAACACAGUGGGCUUGGGAAGAGAGAUCUCAGUGGUGGAAGCACCAUCAUCCCAAGGAGACUUAGGUUUGAAAGAAACAGCCACGGUUUGCAUGGUGUUCCAUGGUUUGUUUCUACCUUGCUGUGCAUGACCUCCACUGCUAAGGUCAUUUAUGGCCCAAGAUGAUUACUCCAGCUCCAGCCAUCACAUCUGUAUUCCAUCCUGCAGAAAGGAAGAAAGAAGAAAAAGACAAGGCCCUGCUCUGAGGAGUGAAGACACAAUCCAGCAGGCAGGAGGGAUGGCUAAGUUCAAAGUCUUGAGAAGUGCCCCUCAUGGACACCCCAGGGUGCCCAUCUCCAGGUUACCACCAGGUGCUUCCAAGACCAAGAUAACCAGGCAAUCAUAGUAGAUGCAUCAAUGCACCCUUGCCCAAGGGCCUAGACAAGAGGAGGAAGGAAAGGAGGAGCACGUGCACAAAGCUAAGGAGGUGAUUAACAACAUGAUACAGUAUUGUUUAGCUUCGCAUGAAUUUUAUCACCUUGCCUAGAACCAGCCACCAUCUGCCAGGGCUCCUGACUUUUUCUGAAAUGAAUAGACACUAAAGCCUGCUGGGGAAUUUCAUGGAAAUCAAGAUGACUCAACCCAGAGUCCAUUUCAAGGCUAGGAUGCUAGAGGACGCCAACAAAGGAGUAGGGAAGUGAAACGGAUCAGCUCACAUCCAAGCCCUUGCAUGAUCAAUCCUGCAGUAGGAGUGCUGCUCAGUUGGGACUCAUGAGAGCCCGGAAGAGGAAAAAGCAGCUCUAAGCAUAGCAAAGAAGCUGUUAUGGAAAAGACCCAAAUGUUAAAAUGGUGGACAUAGUAAAGUGAUUGGUUCUGCUUAGGGGAAUCUAGAUCCCCACAUUUUGACCUCCACUGGAGUCUCAGAAGAACAAGUGCCAGGGGGGCUUGCCACAGAGGCCAAGGCAGUGAAUGUCAGGCACAUCACAGUCCCCAAGAUGGGGAGAAGACUGAGAUGCAGGGUAACAACUGCAAUCCAUUCAUGGGAGCCAUGUUUAUCUUAAAUCAUUGACAGUGAGAUAAGGAUCAUGUCAGCCUUCAUACCUUUGAUGAUGAUCCCAGGCUGCAACAGUGACACAUAGAACUGGAUUCAGUAACUAACUACAGAUUCCAUCAACCAGGACUAGUAAAGUGAAAGGCAGAAAUUGGGAGGAGGGGUUUCUUUCUUGCUUAUAAAACUUUAUUUGGUUGUGUUGAGUAUGUGCAUGUAUGUAUGAAAUCCCAUAAAGCAGUCUUCUUAGGAACAAGCCAACAUGCCACAAUGUAGGAGAUCUUUGGAGCACUGGCCUAAAUGGCAGAGAGCUCAAGGGACUCUGCUUUGUACAAGGCAUGAUUUGUACCACCACCACUAUCCCUGUUUCAGAGCACUGUUGAAUUGUUCCAAACCUGGAUUUCUAUGUCAGCUCCCUGUCUAUAGUACUUGACUGAUAAAUGCUAGUUUCUGAAAUCUGCUUUGGUUCUAUAAUUUAUUAGACAGCUUUUUCUUCCCAUUUUAUUACUUGUUUUUACUGUCAUUGGUAUAUUAUCUCUUACAGUGAAAACAUUCAUAGGCUGAUUGAAGAGAAGAUCUGAAAUUAUUAGGCAGCAAGCAUACAAAACCCUUGCUUUAUAAAGAUAAUAUCUUAAAGGCCUAAUGUCUAUGGUUCAAAGCAGCCUGGAGAUGUUGGCUAAAUCUUCCAUCAUAGAGUCCUCAUGGGAUCUGGAAGCUCUGAUUUAUCUUCCUUCAGGCCCUAUAAGUUAGCUUUCCACAUCUGUAGGUUCCACAAUCAACCUUGGAUCAAAAACAUUUGAAA
rnacentral:lncRNA from 1 species